AAAGAAGAGAGCGCGCGAGAGAGAGAGAUGUCACUGAAGUAUCUCCUGUUUGUUCUGUUGUUUUUCUGUCUGCUGUCAGAUUGCGAUGGCAGAAAAACAAAAGGAAACAAAACCAAGAAAAAGGGAACGUCUCUGAUCAGAACUGCUAAAAAGAUCAAAGAGCAACUGGAUCCUGCUGGAAUAAUAAACCCCUCCAGAAAGUCCUCCAGAACCAUGGACCUGGCAAAACUAACGGAGGAGAGUAUUGUUAAUGAACAUGUGAGAU